rnacentral:misc_RNA from 1 species
UUUCCGUAGGUGAACCUGCGGAAGGAUCAUUAUUGAAAUCGUCGGCCUUUGCUCUGCGCUGGCGUUGCCUUGCGUGGCGCCAUGCUGCGGGCAGAGGUUGCUUUCCACCUCACACCCCUGUGCACCUAGUGGCCCCUCGUGGGCCCCUUUUAACACAAACAACAAGUCUUAAAGAAUGAAUGCGGUCUUGCACCGUCCAAAUACUAAAACAACUUUCAACAACGGAUCUCUUGGCUCUCGCAUCGAUGAAGAACGCAGC